rnacentral:rRNA from 1 species
UACGGAGGGUGCAAGCGUUAUCCGGAUUCACUGGGUUUAAAGGGUGCGUAGGCGGGCAGGUAAGUCCGUGGUGAAAUCUCUGAGCUUAACUCAGAAACUGCCAUGGAUACUAUUUGUCUUGAAUAUUGUGGAGGUAAGCGGAAUAUGUCAUGUAGCGGUGAAAUGCUUAGAUAUGACAUGGAACACCAAUUGCGAAGGCAGCUUACUACACAGCUAUUGACGCUGAGGCACGAAAAGCGUGGGGAUCAAACAGG